UACAGAGGGGGCAAGCGUUGUUCGGAAUUACUGGGCGUAAAGGGCGCGUAGGCGGCCUUCUAAGUCGAACGUGAAAUCCCCGGGCUCAACCCGGGAACUGCGUCCGAUACUGGAAGGCUUGAAUCCGGGAGAGGGAUGCGGAAUUCCAGGUGUAGCGGUGAAAUUCGUAGAUAUCGGGAGGAACACCAGUGGCGAAGGCGGCGAUCUGGGUCGAUACUGACGCUGAGGUGCGAAAGCGUGGGGAGCAAACAGG
rnacentral:rRNA from 1 species